rnacentral:rRNA from 1 species
CACGUAGGGUGCGAGCGUUGUCCGGAAUUAUUGGGCGUAAAGAGCUCGUAGGCGGUGUGUCGCGUCGGCCGUGAAAACCUGCAGCUUAACUGUGGGCUUGCGGUCGAUACGGGCAUCACUGGAGUUCGGCAGGGGAGACUUGAAUUCCUGGUGUAGCGGUGAAAUGCGCAGAUAUCAGGAGGAACACCGGUGGCGAAGGCGGGUCUCUGGGCAGUAACUGACGCUGAGGAGCGAAAGCGUGGGGAGCGAACAGG